rnacentral:rRNA from 1 species
UACGGAGGGGGCUAGCGUUGCUCGGAAUCACUGGGCGUAAAGGGUGCGUAGGCGGGUCUUUAAGUCAGGGGUGAAAUCCUGGAGCUCAACUCCAGAACUGCCUUUGAUACUGAGGAUCUUGAGUACGGGAGAGGUGAGUGGAACUGCGAGUGUAGAGGUGAAAUUCGUAGAUAUUCGCAAGAACACCAGUGGCGAAGGCGGCUCACUGGCCCGAUACUGACGCUGAGGCACGAAAGCGUGGGGAGCAAACAGG